CCAAAGGCUCUUUUAAGAGCCACCCACUGCAUCAGGAAAAGAGCUG
rfam:Anas platyrhynchos breed Pekin duck contig128320, whole genome shotgun sequence.